GAGGGUAUAGCUCAAAAGUGGCAGAGCCCAUGCUUAGCAUGCACGAGGUCCUGGGUUCAAUCCCCAGUACUUCCU
rnacentral:tRNA from 1 species